AAGCAGCCAUCCUUGAAAGAGUGCGUAAUAGCUCACUGGUCAAGUGAUCGUGCGCCGACAAUGUAGCGGGGCUCAAGCACACCGCCGAAGCCGCGGACCCAUGACGUUGUUCCCUUCACCGUCCGGCCUCGUCCGGGUGGUGGCAGGGGUUGUGGGUGGUAGGGGAGCGUCCUGCACCGGGGGAAGCCUGUGGGUGACUGCUGGUGGACGGUGCGGGAGUGAGAAUGCAGGCAUGAGUAGCGAUACUAGGGUGAGAAGCCCUAGCGCCGAAUGACCAAGGGUUCCAGGGCCAGGCUAGUCCGCCCUGGGUGAGUCGGGACCUAAGGCGAGGCCGACAGGCGUAGUCGAUGGAUGACGGGUUGAUAUUCCCGUACCGGCGAAGCACCGCCCAUGCUGACGCGCGGGUGCUAACCCACGCCCAGCCACCAAGUUCAGCCGCGCCUACUCCUUUCGGGGGGUGGUGUGGUUGUGGUGGUGGGGUCUGGGGAUCCUCCGUGCAGGUAGGCAAGCGUGUUAACAGGGGUGACGCACAGUGGUAGCCCGGCGGACCUGAUGGCUUGGUCCGUUCAAGCGCGCAGCCCGUCUCCCAGGUAAAUCCGGAGUGGCUGUCUUUGAUGACGGGGGUGAGGCGUGAUGGUGACCCCACGCUGGUGGGGGAUAACAGGGUGAUCCUGGGGUGCCGAGAAAAGCCUCGACGCGAUGGUGCCAGCCGCCCGUACCCUAAACCGACACAGGUGGUCGGGCAGAGUAUGCCUAGGCGCACGAGUGAAUCAUGGUUAAGGAACUCGGCAAAAUGCCCCCGUAACUUCGGGAGAAGGGGGGCCUGAUCCCUGAAGCCCCGUUUGCGGGCUAGGGGGGAGGGUCGCAGAGGCCAGGGGGAAGCGACUGUUUACUAAAAACACAGGUCCGUGCGAAGCCGUAAGGCGAUGUAUACGGACUGACGCCUGCCCGGUGCUGGAAGGUUAAGAGGAACCAUCAACCCCCUCGGGGGUGAAGUGGUGAAUUUAAGCCCCAGUAAACGGCGGUGGUAACUAUAACCAUCCUAAGGUAGCGAAAUUCCUUGUCGGGUAAGUUCCGACCUGCACGAAUGGCGUAACGACUUCUCCGCUGUCUCGACCACGAGCUCGGUGAAAUUGCAGUACGAGUAAAGAUGCUCGUUUCGCGCAGCAGGACGGAAAGACCCCGGGACCUUUACUAUAGCUUGGUAUUGGUGUUCGGUACGGCUUGUGUAGGAUAGGUGGGAGACUGUGAACCGGUCACGCUAGUGGGCGGGGAGUCGUUGGUGAAAUACCACUCUGGCCGUGCUGACCAUCUAACCUCGGUCCGUGAUCCGGGCCAGGGACAGUGCCUGGUGGGUAGUUUAACUGGGGCGGUUGCCUCCUAAAGGGUAACGGAGGCGCUCAAAGGUUCCCUCAGCCUGGUCGGCAACCAGGUGGCGAGUGUAAGUGCACAAGGGGGCUUGACUGUGAGACUGACGGGUCGAGCAGGUACGAAAGUAGGAACUAGUGAUCCGGCGAUCCCGUGUGGGUGGGUCGUCGCUCAACGGAUAAAAGGUACCCCGGGGAUAACAGGCUGAUCCUGCCCAAGAGUCCAUAUCGACGGCAUGGUUUGGCACCUCGAUGUCGGCUCGUCGCAUCCUGGGGCUGGAGCAGGUCCCAAGGGUUGGGCUGUUCGCCCAUUAAAGCGGUACGCGAGCUGGGUUCAGAACGUCGUGAGACAGUUCGGUCCCUAUCCGCUGCGCGCGUAGGAGAAUUGAGAAGGGCUGUCCCUAGUACGAGAGGACCGGGACGGACGAACCUCUGGUGUGCCAGUUGUUCCGCCAGGAGCAUGGCUGGUUGGCUACGUUCGGGAGGGAUAACCGCUGAAAGCAUCUAAGCGGGAAGCCUGCUUCAAGAUAAGUUCUCCAUCCAGCCUGUGUGCUGGGUGAGGUCCCCCGCAGACGACGGGGUUGAUAGGCCGGACGUGGACGCCUCGUAAGGGGUGGAGCUGACCGGUACUAAUGGACCGACCGCCUACAC
rnacentral:rRNA from 1 species